CAGCCGCCGCGGUAAUACGUAGGGUGCAAGCGUUAAUCGGAAUUACUGGGCGUAAAGCGUGCGCAGGCGGUUAUAUAAGACAGAUGUGAAAUCCCCGGGCUCAACCUGGGAACUGCAUUUGUGACUGUAUAGCUAGAGUACGGCAGAGGGGGAUGGAAUUCCGCGUGUAGCAGUGAAAUGCGUAGAUAUGCGGAGGAACACCGAUGGCGAAGGCAAACCCCUGGGCCUGUACUGACGCUCAUGCACGAAAGCGUGGGGAGCAAACAGGAUUAGAUACCCGAGUAGUCCCUGUCUCUUAUAC
rnacentral:rRNA from 1 species